rnacentral:rRNA from 1 species
UACAGGGGGGGGCAAGCGUUGUUCGGAAUUACUGGGCGUAAAGGGCGCGUAGGUGGCCUGUUAAGUCGAACGUGAAAUCCCUGGGCUCAACCCAGGAACUGCGUCCGAUACUGGCAGGCUUGAAUCCGGGAGAGGGAUGCGGAAUUCCAGGUGUAGCGGUGAAAUGCGUAGAUAUCUGGAGGAAUACCGGUGGCGAAGGCGGCUCACUGGCCCGGUACUGACGCUGAGGUGCGAAAGCGUGGGGAGCAAACAGG